CGGAGAAGGAGUUUGUGGACGUGGAGUACAUCAUAGAGAGUUUACCAGACAGGGGGCGGUCAUGUUGGCAUCUGGGCGCAGUGUGGAUACUUAGCCAGUUCCAGGACAACGAGCUAUAUCUUGGCACGUAUCCUGAUGAACAUUUCAUAGAGCAGCCUGUCAAGGAGGCCAUGGAAAAUUUCCAGAAGAAUCUCCAAGAAAUUUCAAAUCGCAUUGCAGAAAGAAACAAGAAUAAGAAGCUGCCUUAUUAUGAUGCAUCUCCAGACAGAAUCCCCAACAGUGUUGCGAUGUAGGCGUUGGGGGCAGGGGGGUCCUUUCUGGUGUUCUGGAACUAGUGCUCUGUCUGCUUGGUCCAUGUGUGCUGCCCACUCUCUUUGUUUGCCUUCAGCCAGCAACCUGUGAGGACAAUCUUCAUCGAGGUCUUUGAACUGCUUUCUGCUCGAAUCUUGCUGAGGAGAUGUGAUGGCGGAUCCAGCAGUGCCAGCCUCUGGCGCACUGGAUGAGACCUUCUCCUUCAACUCAUCAGACCAGCAAAUGCAUCAGCUCAGCUUGUUCCAGUUUUGUUGCCAUUUCAUAACUUGUUCACAUUUGCUUUUAUCACUUUGAAUGGAACCACUGGUGACAAGGCAGCACUUAAACCCCAUCCAAAAUAUCUCAAGUAGUUGAUGGCAAAAUGCUGUGGUUCUCCCUACUCUGUCAGAUGGAGAAUCACAUCAUCUUGAAGGAGUUACAGGUUAAUAUCAGCAUCGUAAGUCUACUGAUCGUCAUCACAACCCAUCUGGUUUGGAAGGGAACCUGCCAUUCAUGAAGAAACGAGGAACUGCAGGUGCUGGUUUACAGAAAAAUACACAAAGUGCUGGAGUAACUUAGGGUCAAACAGCAGGGAUAAAUGUUCUGCAGAGAUGGUGCCUGACCCACUGAGUUACUCCAGCACUUUGUGACUUAACCUGCUGUCCAUGCCCUGUCUGGCCCUUGUGAUCCGGGCCCAUCAAUGUGGGGCUGCCU